rnacentral:rRNA from 1 species
AUUGAACGCUGGCGGAAUGCUUUACACAUGCAAGUCGAACGGCAGCACGGGGGCAACCCUGGUGGCGAGUGGCGAACGGGUGAGUAAUACAUCGGAACGUGCCCAGUCGUGGGGGAUAACUACGCGAAAGCGUAGCUAAUACCGCAUACGAUCUACGGAUGAAAGCGGGGGAUCGCAAGACCUCGCGCAAUUGGAGCGGCCGAUGGCAGAUUAGGUAGUUGGUGGGGUAAAGGCUCACCAAGCCUUCGAUCUGUAGCUGGUCUGAGAGGACGACCAGCCACACUGGGACUGAGACACGGCCCAGACUCCUACGGGAGGCAGCAGUGGGGAAUUUUGGACAAUGGGCGCAAGCCUGAUCCAGCCAUUCCGCGUGCAGGAUGAAGGCCCUCGGGUUGUAAACUGCUUUUGUACGGAACGAAACGCGCUGAGCUAAUACCUCGGCGUAAUGACGGUACCGUAAGAAUAAGCACCGGCUAACUACGUGCCAGCAGCCGAC